GACAGAGGGUGCAAACGUUGUUCGGAAUUAUUGGGCGUAAAGCGCGUGUAGGCGGCUAAGUAAGUCGGGCGUGAAAUCCCACGGCUCAACCGUGGAAGUGCACUCGAAACUGCAUAGCUAGAGUCCUGGAGAGGAAGGUGGAAUGCUUGGUGUAGAGGUGAAAUUCGUAGAUAUCAAGCAGAACACCUGCGGCGAAGGCGGCCUUCUGGACGGUGACUGACGCUGAGACGCGAAAGCGUGGGGAGCAAACAGG
rnacentral:rRNA from 1 species